CUAAUUUGCUUUAUCAUCCUCUGUUGAUAAGGUUUCUUCCUGUUUGCUACUCAAGUUAUCACAAAGGCCAAAGACAGACAGAUCCAUGCUUUCAUUUCAGUGUCAGAAAGAUUCAUGAUAGUGCCACUAAUCCAUUUUGACUCCAAGUAAGGAGGUGAUCUAAGAUUAGUUUUUCAUCUGGUGUUGCUUUGAAGAGAAAAGACCCAAGCAACAGGAUGUUGUUCCAUUCCUGGUGAUGGGAAAAUGUGGAACCAACAAGUGAACAAGGAGGAACAGAAGGAAAGAAAUUACUGCAGGGAAUAUCAAGAAUAAAUCAACAUCGAAGGAGGCAGCUGGAUCUGCUGGGAUCUCUGAAAUCAGGACAUGACGAAACAGGACUUGUAUUGGAACAGGACUCGAAGAAGAAAAAAUGAGGAAAAAUGCAAAAAUUUGUGAGGCCAUGUGCUUCAGUUAUUCCAGAUGGGCUGUAUGUAACAAAACAGGAACAGCUCAACAUGUACUUGAACUGUCUAUUCCAGGAGGUAAGCAAAAUUUUGAGGGAGGGAGGGAGGGAGGGAGGGAGGGAAUUUUA
rnacentral:lncRNA from 1 species